rnacentral:rRNA from 1 species
UAGUCCACGCCGUAAACGAUGUUCACUCGCUGUUGGCGAUAUACUGUCAGCGGCCAAGCGAAAGCAUUAAGUGAACCACCUGGGGAGUACGAUCGCAAGGUUGAAACUCAAAGGAAUUGACGGGGGCCCGCACAAGCGGUGGAGCAUGUGGUUUAAUUCGAUGAUACGCGAGGAACCUUACCAGGGCUUAAAUGCAGUAUGACAGAUUUGGAAACAGAUUUUUCUUCGGACAUAUUGCAAGGUGCUGCAUGGUUGUCGUCAGCUCGUGCCGUGAGGUGUCAGGUUAAGUCCUAUAACGAGCGCGACCCCUAUUGCUAAUUGCCAGCGGAUAAUGCCGGGGACUCUAGUGAGACUGCCGGUGCAAACCGUGAGGAAGGUGGGGAUGACGUCAAAUCAUCACGGCCCUUACGUCCUGGGCCACACACGUGCUACAAUGGUAGGGACAGAGAGCAGCCACUUCGCGAGAAGGAGCGAAUCUACAAACCCUAUCA